rnacentral:tRNA from 1 species
GGGUUAAUCUCUUUUGGUUGUAGCGUCGGCUUGUGUAGCUGGAUGCCCGCGGUUUGAGGCCGCUUAACUCAAC